rnacentral:misc_RNA from 1 species
CAAUCAAGUUCUAAUUUUUGUA